AUCACUCCCUUAAUCAAGACAUAAAGUACUGAGAAAGGACACACAUAAAAAAGCAAGCAAGUGAUAAAAAGGUCCAUAUCUGCAAAUUAUUUACACACGGAGUCAACACCAUAUAUUAAAAAUUUGAAGGUAUUUCACCUAAGAAGAACUAAAUAACAUUGGCAGAAAUAUAGAAGGUUCUCUCAAUCUAUUUAGCUGCUUCAUUCCUAGUAUCUCAGGUGAAACUUUAAGUAAAAAAUGUUUUUCAGUGCAAAAAA